AUAAACCCUAUGCUAAAUCCUGUUUAAUAUUUUUGUUUGUCUCCCUCGCUGCAUCUUCCUCGCCGACUUAGCUUUCUGCCGACUGCUUUCUCGUCGUCUCGCCGACUUUCUCCCCGACUCUUCUUCUUGUAUCUCGACAGCGUCGUGUGCUCGUAUAUCGCCGACUCUACUGCUCUCUCUCAAAAGACGCGUGCCCCACUAGAUACUUACUUGAGGCGCAAACCACGAUAGAUGCCCGAGCGACCAAACUACAGAAAUUUGUGAGAUUGCUGUUGUUUAGGGAAAAGAGGCAGAUGGCUUAUGUUCCUGUUCAUGUUAACUUUGCAAAGAGAAGAAAUCAUGUUACUUUCAUAGAAUCCAGAAUAACAUCUCCAUCUUUUGUAUGCCUAAAAUGAUUUAUGUUCACCAUUGAUUUACAAAUUUCCUCUUUUAAAGCUUCUAUCUCUUUCUUAAGAAAAUCAAUUUCCAGAUUUCUGUCUUUGCAAAGAUAGCUCACUUUCUAUGAACUUAAUUCUUAGUAGCUCUAUCUCAACUAGCAAUAUUUCCUUUUCUCCAUUCUGUUCCAAGCCAAAAAGAUUUCUCUGCAUGGAAGGUUGACACUUCAGAUUGAGUUACUCCACUUCUCUUAUGAAGUCUUUUUGCAAUGCUUCCUUAGAUAACUUAUGGUUGUCUAGUUCUUUGCUCUUUAUAUUUUAGUUCCAAGCUCAACCUUUCUACAUCUCUUGACCUGAUACCUAUUCGACCUACUAGCUGCUUGAGUUUCACUUGGUAUUUCCCCUGUAAUAACACUAUAUCUUUAUUAGAUUUCUCCAAAAUUCUUCCCAUGUUGCCUUUUUGUGAUUGUAACUUGGCAUUUUCUUUAAUUGCUUGCGUGACUAUCUUCUUAGUAGUUUGAAAUGUAGAUGACAUAUGUGCAGAAAGAUUCCUGAGUUCCUCUCGAAGCCACUCACCACUCUUAGAAAUGUUCCAUUUAGUAUUUCUCAAUGUCUCUUCUGCUACCUUGGCUCGUUUCUCUUGUUCAACUUUAGCUAGUGUGAUGGUUGCUAGAUCUAAUUUAAUCACUCCAGUUUGUUUCUAAAGUUCUUUCUCCAAUAACUCAACCUGUAACUCAAGAUUAUUGAUAAUGGAUAAAUGUGUAGAACACUCAUAUUGCAUCCUGAGUUGUUAAUUUAAUGUUUUUUGAUAUCUACUAUUUUAUUAAUAAAAUUAUUCAUUGUGAAUAUUAUUCUAGCAAUGCAUAUCAAGUUCUAAUAUUCAACAUUCAGAUGUCUAUUGUUCUUUUAGUAUUUUAUAUUUGGAGAUAUAUAUCGAACCUUUAAAUUUACAUGUUAUUAUUGAUUAUAAACAUAUUGAAGGUGUUGAAUUAAUACAAAUAGUCUUUUAAUAAAAGUAAAUGAUUAGAUAAUAAUAAGAUUAUAGUUUUAGAAUUGAAUGUUAUAAAGUUCUUUUAUUUUAUUUAUGAAAAAUAUCUGUAUAUUUUCUAAAAAUGCAUAAAAUGUCUACAAAUCGUAAUUGAAUGUGGCGUCAAAAAGAUGAUAAUGGUUUUCAUUGGUGUACUGUUGUUCUAUUAUGUUGAUUUUUAUCUUCAUUGGUGGACUGUCAUUUAUUGCUUCUAUUAGUGUACUGCUGUUCUAUUGGUGUUACUGCUAUUAGUUUGUGUUAGUGCUGGUGUUUGCUGCAUAGUGUUUAUUGUUGGUGUUUACUGCUAGUAUUUUGCAUAGUAUAAUCCAUAAUGCAUAGUGCUGAUCAUUGUAGAAAUUUGUUGUCCACUGUUGUUGCCUUUGUUGAAUUCUGCAAAAAUGUUGUUUACUGAAUUGUAUUUGUUGUUUACUGCAAAUAAAAAAUAUUUGUAGAAAUUUGUCACGUUUGUUGUUGUUUACUGAAUUUUACCAUUGUUUUUGUUCUUCGUUGGUGUACUGUUAUUCUAUUGCGUUGAUUUUGAUCUUCAUUGGUGUAUUGUCAUUUACUGUCAUUUAUUGCUUCUAUUGGUGUACUGUUGUUCUAUUGGUGUCACUGCUAUUAGUAUUGGUGUACCACUAUUAGUCUUACUGUUGUUUGUGUUUCUGCUACUAGUGUUUACUGAAUUUUACUGCUAGUGUUUACUGCAUAGUACCUAAUGCUAUAUUGUAUGGACAACAACGCAUGCUAGAAAUAUUCAAUUUUUAUUGAUGUUUAA